GCGCCUGUAGCUCAAUUUGGAUAGAGCGACUGCCUCCUAAGCAGUAGGUUACCCGUUCGAUUCGGGUCAGGCGCACCA
rnacentral:tRNA from 1 species